GACGAACGCUGGCGGCGUGCUUAACACAUGCAAGUCGAGCGGUAAGGCCCUUUCGGGGGUACACGAGCGGCGAACGGGUGAGUAACACGUGGGUGACCUGCCCUCAGCUCUGGGAUAAGCCUGGGAAACUGGGUCUAAUACUGGAUAUGACUCCACGGUGCAUGUCGUGGGGUGGAAAGCCUUGUGCGGCUGAGGAUGGGCCCGCGGCCUAUCAGCUUGUUGGUGGGGUGANGGCCUACCAAGGCGACGACGGGUAGCCGGCCUGAGAGGGCGACCGGCCACACUGGGACUGAGACACGGCCCAGACUCCUACGGGAGGCAGCAGUGGGGAAUCUUGCGCAAUGGGCGAAAGCCUGACGCAGCGACGCCGCGUGAGGGAUGACGGCCUGGU
rnacentral:rRNA from 1 species